UGCACUCUGCAGCCUAAUAGU
rnacentral:piRNA from 1 species